rnacentral:siRNA from 1 species
ACAAUUCUGGAGCAGUAUGUUG